GCUGAGAGGACUGUUGUCUGGCUCGAGGUCAUGAAGAAUGAAACCUAAACCUAAAUGAUUCUCGGACCAGGCUUCAUUCCCCCCAGC
rnacentral:pre_miRNA from 2 species